AUGCCAUUGCUUUCAGGCCUGUCAGAUCCACGACGCCAUGAAUUACUCGUGUCGAGCACUUCAAGAACACGCCACCUUAGAGCAUCUCCAGCCGCGCCCCAGGAAGGCCUCCUCCCCAAGAGAUUUUUUCGCGCCGGCGCCAAAAAAACGGCCCAGUCGCGCCCCCAGGAGCCCAAUUUUCGCCGGCCUGGGCCGAAAUCAGCGCCGGCGGACACAGGCCGAACCCGGCGCGCCGGGGGCGCCGGGGCAAGCGGUUUUGGCGCGAAAAAGCCGCGGGCCAGCCGCGUCAGCGACACCGCGCCUCGUCUUCCCCCAACGCCUCGGUUCCCGCGGGGAAUCAAUGGCAAGGCUGCCGCCGGUCAGCCUUGCCAUUGA
rnacentral:rRNA from 1 species